rnacentral:snRNA from 1 species
GUGCUCAAUUCAGCAGCACAUCUACUAAAAUUGGAAAGACAGAGAGAAGAUUAGCAUGGCCCCUAUGCAAGGAUGACACACAAAUUCUUGAAGCAAUCCAUAUUUAA